CAGUUAAUGGUCCUCAUUUAGGUUUUAGCUG
rnacentral:piRNA from 1 species